AAUCAACGCUGGCGGCGUGCCUAACACAUGCAAGUCGAACGAGAAAGUGGAGCAAUCCAUGAGUACAGUGGCGCACGGGUGAGUAACACGUGACUAACCUACCCUUGAGUGGGGGAUAACCUAGAGAAAUCUGGGCUAAUACCGCAUAAUACCUUCGGGUCAAAGGAGCAAUUCGCUUAAGGAGGGGGUCGCGGCCGAUUAGUUAGUUGGCGGGGUAAUGGCCCACCAAGACUAUGAUCGGUAUCCGGCCUGAGAGGGCGCACGGACACACUGGAACUGAAACACGGUCCAGACUCCUACGGGAGGCAGCAGUGGGGAAUUUUGCGCAAUGGGGGAAACCCUGACGCAGCAACGCCGCGUGGAGGAUGAAGUCCCUUGGGACGUAAACUCCUUUCGAUCGGGACGAUAAUGACGGUACCGAGAGAAGAAGCCCCGGCUAACUUCGUGCCAGCAGCCGCGGUAAUACGAGGGGGGCGAGCGUUGUUCGGAAUUAUUGGGCGUAAAGGGUGCGUAGGCGGUUUGGUAAGUCUUGUGUGAAAUCUUCGGGCUCAACUCGAAGUCUGCAUGAGAAACUGCCG
rnacentral:rRNA from 1 species